CAAUCAAAUUUUUUUACAGUUUCACCUCAUACUCAAGAGUUCAAAAAAAAGAAAACAAAAGAAGUACAAAAGAGCCCUUGGACCAGAGAAGUUAGUUAAAAAUCAGUUUCUUAUGGAAGUUGGAAAAUACCAGCAUAUGAUGUUCAAGAUGGUAUCAAAAAUUCUUGAAAACUAAUCUAUUAUUGCUGUAAAUAAACAACCCCAUAGUAUUUUGGCAGUUAAGCAAUUAGAGACUAUAGCAGAAUACAAAGAUUUUGUCAAAUAUUUAGAGGAUGAUUCAGUUUGCCUUGAUUUGGUUAAAAAACUGAGUUUUUUAGGCGCAGAAGAUUAUAAACAGCUGACAAGAUUGGUUAUGAAUAUGUUUUUCUAAUUAUAUUUUUAU
rnacentral:lncRNA from 1 species